UCAUUUUUUCAUGUGUUUAUUGGCCUCAUAUAUGUCUUCUUUUGAAACGUGUCUGUUCAUAUCCUUCACCCACUUUUGAAUGGGUUCGGGGUUUUUUUUGUAAAUCUGUUUCAGUUCUUUAUAGAUUCUGGAUAUUACCCUUUGUAAGAUGGGUAGACUGCAAAAAUAUUUUCCCAUUCUUUUGGUUGCCAGUUCGCUCUAACGAUUGGUUUUCUGCUGUACAGAAGCUCUGGAGUUUAAUUAGAGCCCAUUUGUCUAUUUUGGCCUUUGUUACCAAUGCUUUUGGUGUUUUAGUCAUGAAGUCAUUGCCUAGAUGCAUGGAUAUUUUCUAUGUAUACAUAUGUAUUUUAUGUAUAUAUUUUCUAUGUUCAAUUUCCAGGCAGCUGAGGAAAAUGCAUUUCUGGUGGCUUUUUGCUAAUGACUUUUAGCUUAGUUCCAUAUGGUCUGUAAUAUAUUCUGAAUGAUUUUCUUAUUAAAAGUUUUAAGCUUUUCUUUAUAGCCCAGGAGAUGGCCAAUUUAGGGGAACACUUCAACUGCACUUGAAAAGAUUGUGAAUCCUGUCAUUUGAUGUUAGUGUUCUCCAUAUGUCUGUUUGACCUUUAGUCUUUACUGACUUUUUUUUACUUAUAUUUGCUAUAGAGUUGUGCCAAAUUUCUGUCUUUGCAUUUUGUCUAUUUUUUCUUUCACUUAUGCCAAUUUUGACAUUAUAUAUAUUGAAGUUACAUGAUUGAAUACAUGGAGAUUUGUGGUGUUCCUGUUGAGUUGAUAUCCUUAUUAUUACAAAAUAUUCCUACUUAAGGCAAUAGUAAUUAGUAGACAUGAGUCUAUUUUGUCUGAUAUUACUGUAGUUAAACCUGCUGGGUUUGGGUUAGUAUUUAUAUACUGUGGCUUUUUCUAUCCUUUGAUUUUCAAUCUUUCUCUAUCCUUAUAUUUAAAGGGUGUCUUCUGUAAACAGCAUAUAGUUGAGUUUUGUUUUUAAGGAUAGUCUGGCAAUUUUAGCCUUUUGUUAUAUUAUCCACUUUACAUUAAAUAAAAUUAUUUACAUUGUUAGGGUUAGGUCUAUUCUAUUAUUAUGUGUUUUCUGUUUAGUGUAUCUAUGUUCUCCUUUGCCUCACUUUGGCUGAAUUGCACAUUUUUAUCUUUCUGCUGUUUUUCUUCUAUUAGUUUGUUAUACAUUCAUUUAUGCUUAUUUCAGUGUUUAUAGAUUACAACAUGCAAUCUGAUGUGGUAUAUCUUAGUAGAAAUUUCUAUUUUUACUAUUUCUUAAUAGUGACAGAACUUUGGAGUUCUUAAAUUUCAUUUGUCAGUUGCCUCCUAUGCCCUCCCACCCCUUUGGUAUUUCUUGAUAAUGAAUUUUAAUUCUACGUGUAUUUAAACAUACAUAUUUUUGGUCUGGUUAAUACUCAUUUGAAUUUACCUACAUACUUAUUUAUCUUUUAUGUUUUUCCACAUUUGUAUGCUUCUAACUGGGAUCAUUUUCUUUCUGCCAGAUAAACAGUUUGGAUGUGCAAGUUGGAUAUGGGUUUGGAUUAGCGGUUGAUACAAUAAACAAAACUUAACAGUAAUAAAUGAUAAUGGGACCUGUCUAGUGGGCAGUUUAGCAAUUCUCUUGUCAAAAUUUAAAUUACACAGACCCUGCAUUCUACUUAUGGAUAUUUGUCAUAUAGAUGCAUUUGUGCAUAUAGAAUACAAUAUAAAGUAAGUUGGAAAUAACCUAAUAUUACAAGUAGGGAUCACUUGUAAGAUGGAAUAUUUAGUAGCCCAAAUAAAAAUUAAAUAGCUUUUAUGUACUAAUAUAAAAUUAUCUCCAAAACACAUGUUAAUAAAAAAUAAGGCAAAAGGAGGCACUUGCCAUAUAUUGUAAUGAGGGAAUAGGAUCUUUCUACUGAUCCUUUAGUGAAAGCAACUAUAAAUUAUAGAUAAUAUAUUAAAAUAAUCUCUGAGAGACUUUAAACAGAAUUAAAAACAAAAGUCUAGAAACUUGGAUGUUCAAGCAAUGCUUUGUGAAAGGUCAGAAUUAAGACUUUCUGCAAAAGCAUGGGAGCAUGAUGGUGUCACUUCUGUUGUAGCACAGCUCCUUGAGUUAGGGAUGAAGCUGGGCUGUAUCUGUAGUCUCUGGGGGUGAUGGGGGUGGGGGCGCUGGAGGGAGCAGGGAGAAGACGUUGUUGUAGAGAUCAGUUUGGCAAAUCUGAGGAAAACCUGCCCUCCCCGACUUCUUUUUUCCAUCUAGGUCUGCCAUCUCAGAAUAAUCUCCCAGAAGAAAACAGAUCAUUCCUGGAAUGCUAAAGGCUAUGGCUCAUGUGAGCUGGAAUAGUCCUGUGUUUUAUUGUUUAACCUGAAAAUACCUAUUGGAUGUCUUUCAGGAACCUGCUCCCAGAUCUGUCAUUGUUGUGAGUGCUGGGUCACAGAGACUAGUACCUUCCCUAAACCCCCUUUUCCUUUGCAGCCUCUCUGGAAUACCAAGUCAGACAUCUUUUAUUUGCCCAGUUUUCAGCCAAGAAUGCAGAUAGAGCACAUUUCCUCAAGGGAAACAAGAAAGCCUUUAUUUACAAAAUCAUUGCUUAAUAAGGCUCAGACGAAUUGCCACACAGGGGUUGAUGGUAUUCAAGGAUGUGGCCAUAGACUUCUUUUGGGAGGAAUGGGACUUCUGGAUGCUACUCAGAGGGACUUGUACAGAUGUGUGACGAUGGAGAACUACAGCAAUCUGGCCUCAGUCAGUAAGGAUACUAACUUGCAGAUCAUUCAGUAUUCACCCUUCAGAAGUUCUGCCUUCAUCCUUGUGGAUUUGUGGGUUGUCUGAAUUUCUACUUCCCAAUACUGAAGGAAGUCUGUACUUGGUGGCUGUGGAAAAGGCAUCUCUGUUGCACAUAUUCUUUAGAAGAUUUGCACACUUCCCUCUUGUUAUUCUGAUGAUCGUCUCUCUUCUUUUUGAGGCACGUUCUCGCUCUGUCACCCAGACUGGAGUGCAGCAGCAUGAUCUCAGCUCACUCACCACAGACUCUACCUCCCGGGCUCAAGUGAUCCUCCCACCUCAGCCUCCCGAGUAGCUGGGACCAAGUGCUAAUUUUUGUAUUUUUUGUAGAGACAGGGUUACACCAUGUUACCCAGGCUGUCCUCAAAUUCCUGGGCUCAAGAAACCUUACCGCCUUGGCCUCCCAAAACCCUGGAAUUUCUUACAGGCAGGAGCCACUGUGCCCAGCCAGCCUCUCUUCUUUGGUGACCAAAAGCUGGCUUUGAAUUCAGCCACCCUCCAGAUUGAUCCUGUUCCAUUUCUUCUUUUGCAUGUAGGACUUUCCAUUUUAAAGCCAGAUGUGAUCUCCUUAUUGGAACAGGAAAACCAGCCUUGGCUGGUGAACAGGGGCAUGACAGCAGGACCUUGCUUAGGUGAGCGGGAGCUUGGGAGCAGGGGGUAGGCUCGGCAGCCAGCUGGCCUUGCAGCAGCAGCAUCUUGGGUAUUCUUGCUGGGAGGUGCUACUCCAGGAUGAGGCCUGAAGAGGGAGAGAAGGCCUGAGACCCAGGGAGAAAAGUAACCUCUCUCUCCCCUCUUAGUGAGGUAGGUAGGAAUCCUCCUUCCCCAUACUCAUCUUUUUUACUUAUGCAUUAAGUCUAAUUCUUUCCCUGCUUAUCCUUGUCAUUUAGACCUGUGUAAAUAUUGUCACUUAUAAAAUAUUUUGGAAAAACAUGAAUUGAAUACUUAAUAUUCAAUAAAUUAUUCCCUUUAAAAAAAUUUUUUUUCUUUAUUCAGUAAUUGAUGAUUUAUUCAUUUACUCUUUAUCCAGAAUGCAUUGAUGUUUAAUUGUAAUUUUUAUUUUGUGAGUUGGAGUUCCACUCUUGUUGCCCAGGCUGCGUUGCAGUGCAACGGCGCGGUCUCAGCUCAGUGCAACCUCUGCCUCCCUGGUUCAAGUGAUUCUCCUGCUUCAGCCUCCAAAAUAGCUACGACUACAGGUGUGCGCCACCACUAAUCUUCAUGUUUUUAGUAGAGAUGGGAUUUCACCGUGCUGACCAGGCUGGUUGUGAGCUCUUGACCUCAGGUGAUCUACCCACCUCAGCCUCCCAAAGUGCUGGGAUUAUAGGCACGAGCCACCGCACCCGGCAGAUGUUUAAUUUAUUUAAGACUCACAUAAGUCUUAUGUAAAUUUAGGGGAAAUAAAGGGAAUAAACUAUUAAGAAAUGUUCCAUCUAAUUAGAAAGCUAGAAUAGAUUCUUAAGCGGUUCUCAUAAAGUAGACUAUACCACAGAAGAUGGUCCAGUAGCCUGCUUAGAUGAAAGUCAAGACUCAAGAUAUGAAUGUGGAAGAAAUUCAGAAAGAGAUUUUUUUCUGCAUUGAGGUGGAAGGAGCAUCAGUGGGGAGAUUGGGGGGUGCACUAUGAGGUUGACCUCAGGGAAGAGAGAGCGUGGCCAGCAAGAAGCAGCACCCUUUAUAGGUAGUCAUUGGUGAGUUUUCUCUUUUGAGCGAAGUCAGAUGGAAAUGCCAUUCAACGAAGAAUGCUUUUUUCUUUGAAAUUUGACAAAGAUGAUUCAUUGCAUGUUUUUUGUAAAGAAAGAGUUUCUAAGUUCCAGAAAUAACAUUCAUGUUUUAAUAACAUUGUUCUAAACAUUGAAUUUAUAGUUUUUAAUCUUCUUUCAUAGAAUACUACCAUAUGUAUUUUAUUUUCAUGUAGCCCCUUAAGAUUGCUUUGUAAUUUCUUGUUAAUAAAGUUUUACUGUGAUAUGCA